rnacentral:rRNA from 1 species
GACGAACGCUGGCGGCGUGCCUAAUACAUGCAAGUUGAGCGCUGAAGGUUGGUACUUGUACCAACUGGAUGAGCAGCGAACGGGUGAGUAACGCGUGGGGAAUCUGCCUUUGAGCGGGGGACAACAUUUGGAAACGAAUGCUAAUACCGCAUAAAAACUUUAAACACAAGUUUUAAGUUUGAAAGAUGCAAUUGCAUCACUCAAAGAUGAUCCCGCGUUGUAUUAGCUAGUUGGUGAGGUAAAGGCUCACCAAGGCGAUGAUACAUAGCCGACCUGAGAGGGUGAUCGGCCACAUUGGGACUGAGACACGGCCCAAACGCCUACGGGAAGCAGCAGUAGGGAAUCUUCGGCAAUGGACGAAAGUCUGACCGAGCAACGCCGCGUGAGUGAAGAAGGUUUUCGGAUCGUAAAAGUCUGUUGGUAGAGAAGAACGUUGGUGAGAGUGGAAAGCUCAUCAAGUGACGGUAACUACCCAGAAAGGGACGGCUAACUACGUG